UAUGGGGUGUUGUUGCAGCUGAAUGAGCAUGGCAAUGAAUGGCAUGACUCUGCUGUGGCUAUAAACAAACUAUGGUCCACUUAGACUCACGAAUGGAACGCUUCUACCAAACCCAUCUGGUGGCAGUUUACAAAAAAGAUUAUGUUUACAUUGCGAGUAGAGAAACGCAGUCUAGACGAACUGUACAAAUGUCCAUGCUUUUAUCAUUAGCCAGUAGUCAGUGUUCAAGGUAGAAUUUUAAUAAUUCGUUUAAGGAUGUUUUAAGAAAAUACAAUGCUCAACAUGUAACUGUCCGCGUACUAGCGAGUAAGCUCCAGAAUCCUUGUGGACGACGUUUCGUGGCAAUUUACGAAAAGAUAAACAGAGAGCCAUUUUGUGCGUGGCGAGAGAUACAUUCCCGAGAGAAAGUAAGAGAAGGAGAGAGAGAGCGAGAGCUAGGAUGUGAGCAAACGCUCUGGAGCUAAACUAGUAAGGCAAGCCGCUGAUGGCCCAACCGAAGAACGGAAAUCGUUUCAGUUUCCAUUGGAUGAUAUGACAGGACUGACGCGUUUUUAUCUGUUUCCAUAAAAAUGGAUAGUGGGAAUGUGGGCCUCUGCCAAGUUAAAGCAAAAGAAGUGCAAACAUGCCAAAUGAAAAAAAAAAAAGGAAAAAUGUAUAGAAGUGUUGUUGUGCGAUAAUUAUCGAUCCAAAAAAAAAACAAAAACCC